rnacentral:rRNA from 1 species
CACAUGCAAGUCGAGCGGCCGUAGCGGUACUGCUCCUUCAUACAGGAGAGUAACACGUGGGAACGCGCCCUUCGGCUCCGAAUAGCUCAGGGAAACUUGAGCUAAUACCGGACACGCCCUAACGGGGAAAGAUUUAUCGCCGAAGGAACGGCCCGCGUCCGAUUACCUUCUUGGUGAGGUAAUGGCUCACCAAGGCGUCGAUCGCUAGCUGGUUUGAGAGGAUGACCAGCCUCAUUGGGAGUGAGACACGGCCCAAACUCCUCCGGGAGGCAGCACUGGGGAAUAUUGGACAAUGGGCGCACGCCUGAUCCAGCCAUGCCACGUGAGUGAUGAAGGCCUUAAGGUUGUAAAGCUCUUUUAGCCGGGAAGAUAAUGACGGUACCCGCAGAAAAAGCCCCGGCUAAGUUCAUGCCCGCAGCCGCUGUAAUACGAAGGGGGCUAGCGUUGCUCGGAAUUACUGGGCGUAAAGCGCAUGUAGGCGGCUUCUUAAGUCGGGGGUGAAAUCCGGGAGCUCAACUCCAGAACUGCCUUCGAUACUGGGAAGCUCGAGUUCGGGAGAGGUGAGUGGAACUGCGAGUGUAGAGGUGAACUUUGUAGAUCUUGGCAAGAACACCAGUGGAGAAGGCGGCUCACUGGCCCGAUAAUGACGAUGAGGUGAGAAAGCGUGGGGAGCAAACAGGAUUAGAUCCCCUGGUAGUCCACGCUGUAAACGAUGGAUUAUAUCCGUUGGCGAGCAUCCUCGUCAGUGGCGCAGCUAACGCUUUAAGCAUUCCGCCUGGGGAGUACGGUCGCAAGAUUAAAA